CGGGAGGCGAUGAUUGGUGACGGAGCGGCGGACGGGUGAGUAACGCGUGGCUAACCUACCCUCUUGACGGGGACAACCACUCGAAAGGGUGGCUAAUACCCGAUAUUGAUUGGAACCGAUGGGUUCCUCUCCAAAGGCGGUCCUGCCGCCGCGAGGGGAUGGGGCUGCGUCCUAUUAGCUAGUUGGUGAAGUAACGGCUCACCAAGGCUUCGAUGGGUAGCUGGUCUGAGAGGACGGCCAGCCACAUUGGGACUGAGAUACGGCCCAGACUCCUACGGGAGGCAGCAGUGGGGAAUCUUGGCCAAUGGACGAAAGUCUGAGCCAGCGACACCGCGUGGGGGAUGACGGCCUUCGGGUUGUAAACCCCUUUUCUGGGGAAAGAAUAAGGACGGGAGGAAAUGCCCGCCCGAUGACGGUACUCCAGGAAUAAGCAUCGGCUAACUCUGUGCCAGCAGCCGCGGUAAGACAGAGGAUGCGAGCGUUAUCCGGAAUUACUGGGCGUAAAGGGCGUCUAGGCGGUUCGGUAUUCGUUUGUGAAAUCCCUUGGCUCAACCGAGGAGAGUCUUGCGAUACUGCCGGGCUUGGGUGUAGGAGAGGAGGGUGGAACUCACAGAGUAGUGGUGGAAUGCGUAGAUACUGUGAGGUACCCCGAUGGCGAAGGCAACCCUCUGGCCUACUACCGACGCUGAAGCGCGAAAGCGUGGGGAGCAAAGGGGAUUAGAUACCCCCGUAGUCCACGCCCUAAACAAUGUUCACUUGGUGUCGGCCGCUUAUACUGGUCGGUGCCGAAGCUAACGCGUUAAGUGAACCGCCUGAGGAGUACGGCCGCAAGGCUAAAACUCAAGAGAAUUGACGGGUCCCUGCACAAGCGGUGGAGCACGUGGCUUAAUUCGAUGAUAAUCGAAGAACCUCACCCAGGCUUGACAUACUAGUGGUAGAAACCUGAAAGGGGGCCGACCCUGCCUUCGGGUAGGGAGCUAGUACAGGUGAUGCAUGGCUGUCGUCAGCUCGUGUCGUGGGAUGUUGGGUUCAGUCCCGAAACGAGCGCAACCCUUGUCGUUAGUUGCCAGCGGGUAAUGCCGGGGACUCUAACGAGACUGCUGGUGAAUAGCCGGAGGAAGGCGGGGAUGACGUCAAGUCAUCAUGUCCCUUAUGCCUGGGGCGACACACAUGCUACAAUGGGGGGUACAAAGGGUCGCAAUCCCGUAAGGGGGAGCCAAUCCAUAAAAACCCCUCUCAGUUCGGAUUGAGGUCUGCAACUCGACCUCAUGAAGCCGGAAUCGCUAGUAAUCGCGGGUCAGCCAUACCGCGGUGAAUAUGUACUCAGGGAUUGUACACACCGCCCGUCACACCAACCGAGUGGGGGGUACCUGAAGUCGCUCUUCUAAGGGCGCCUAGGGUAACUUCCGCAAGAGGGGUGAAGUCGUAACAAGGUA
rnacentral:rRNA from 1 species